rnacentral:lncRNA from 1 species
GUGCAGGACUACAUUUUAUUCUAGGGAGCCAGAAGGGCCAAGAGGCCAGGUCCACUCCCCAGGCCCAGGUGAGCAUCCUGGAAAGGUAUCAGGAAAUGGGGCCUGGUAGGGACAGGGACAAAAGGAGGGCCAAAGGAGUGCACAGCAUGAAGGGCCGGAGGAAGGGUCCUAGAGUGAGGGGGCCAGGACCCCAGCAAGGAGCCCAGGCUUGAGACCAAGUUCUGGGAGCAUGCCAGGGGAGAACAGGGAAGGGCAGGGCCAGGCAGGCGGGCAGCACUAGUGGACUGCAGUGCAGGGAAACUAAGGGAGCUGGGAAGUUCCCCAAGCAAGGGGCUCACAGUCAACGCCCAGGGACGCGCUGGGUAACAAGGCCACCAGAGGCUCAAGCUAGGAACCAGACCAGGAAUGGAGAGCCAAGGGCUGGGGCUGGGGCAGAGGGCUCAGGACAGUGGACAGGGAUGGGGAGGGAAGGCAGGGUCCAGGCAGUGCCAGGAUACCACAGCAC